GGGGAAUAUUGGACAAUGGGGGAAACCCUGAUCCAGCGACGCCGCGUGAGUGAAGAAGUAUUUCGGUAUGUAAAGCUCUAUCAGCAGGGAAGAAAAUGACGGUACCUGACUAAGAAGCCCCGGCUAACUACGUGCCAGCAGCCGCGGUAAUACGUAGGGGGCAAGCGUUAUCCGGAUUUACUGGGUGUAAAGGGAGCGUAGACGGCACUGCAAGUCUGGAGUGAAAGCCCGGGGCUCAACCCCGGGACUGCAUUUGAAACUAUGUUGCUAGAGUGCAGGAGAGGUAAGUGGAAUUCCUAGUGUAGCGGUGAAAUGCGUAGAUAUUAGGAGGAACACCAGUGGCGAAGGCGGCUUACUGGACUGUAACUGACGUUGAGGCUCGAAAGCGUAGGGAGCAAAC
rnacentral:rRNA from 1 species